GGCCACCAAUGUUUCAUAUACACCUUAUACACAUAGCCUGAAGGUAAUUUUAUACAGUAUAUUACAUAAUUUUGUGUAUGAAGCAAGGUUUGUGCAUAUAUGAAGUUGAUGUACAUUGAACCAUCAGAAAGCAAAGGUGUCACUAUCUCAGACACCCAUAUGGACAGUCACCUGUUGUUUGGCAUCACCAUCAUUGCUGACUUUGAAUUGAUAUGCAACCAAUAAGCAAUCAUUUUCUUAUACUUAUUCACAUAUAAGUACUUAGUAAAAAAUAUGACAUACCACUAAUACGGUGAAAAAAUGUGUUCAGGGUAACUAAGUGGCACAAUAGCACCACCAGAACACCUGUAUCAUCCAUUAAACAACAGCAGUCACAAACAAUGACAGGCUCUCAGUUUCCACCUACAAUUCUGUGUUUUGAUUGAAAAGUUACUGUGCACUGUAACCCCUUGGGAAUGGUGAAUAAACAGUGUGUUUUGUGUCUAAGUCUUGAUUGCAACAAGUUGCAUGAGGUCAGGUGAGGAAUUUUCCAUUUGUGGUGUCAUUUGGUGCUCAAAAGUUUAAGAUUUUGGAGCAUUUUGGAUUUUCAGAUUAGGGAUGUUCAACUCACAGAGCUAUAGGGAGUCACUGUGUAUGCCAAGGGAAUGCCUCUCCUAUCUCAUGAGUCACUUUCCUCCAGCUUAUUUGAGAGUCAAUUUGUUUUAAGAUCUAAUUCUACAUUGUUGCCUAGUUUCUUCUCAGAACCACUCCUGUUUAGUCCCCGUAAGUCUCCAAACCCCAACUCAGAUGGGGCCUCUGAUCACUUCUGUUGAUUACUGGGGGGAUUCUAAGAUUUCCUUUAGCACAAUGUCGUCAUCAUCAGGUUAAAAUCAGAGGAGAUGUGAUCCUUGGAGAGAAUACUCCCAUUCUCCGCUUUAUCCCUUCUUAGCCUAAAAUGCCACUAACCUUGUAUGCAACAUGCUUUAAUGAAGGUUUGUAAUAACUGAAAGGAUCGUAAUGUAAAUCAAAAGCAAAAAUGGAAAGAAAAAGUAAAACUGGAUGUCAAAUUUGACUGCAAACAAAGAUCAAGGUGAAAUGUUAUAACAUUUAAUCGCAAGGUUUCCAAUAGCUGCCUGUUCUUCCUGGGGCUUGGUAGUUCAAUUCAACAGGUUGAACAAUACACCCAUUGUUCUUCCAAAUAAAUGUUAGUUGUUGAUAAGGUUAGCUCAGGUUAGUUUCUAUUACUUACCAGCAAAAGACUACUAAUAUAUCCUUUACAAAAAAUGGUUCUAUGGCCACAUGUGCUUGGGAAAUGCUUACAGAGCACAUAGCCCAGCUUGGAAAUUCACAAUGGUCAUUAAAGACUCUGAGAAGUCCUGCAAUACAGACACGACUUUAAUAUAUAAGCCAUUAUUACCAAAGAGUAUGUCCCAAACUUUUGUCAGUGUAAAACUUCCAUUAGCAAUACGUGAAUACAAUGAAUGCAUGGAGGCAAUCACAUCAUUAUUCCAAAAGAAUUUGCCAACUCAUCAGAUUGUCUUGGCCACAUUUCAUGUAGCAUUUUAUGAAUAAUUUGCAUUAACAUAUUGAUUAAAAGUAAAAGGGAUAAUACUUUUGUUUUUGAGGCAGAGUCUCACUCCGUGGCCCAGGCUGGAGUGCAGGUGGUGCGAUCACUGCUCACGGCAGUCUCGACUUGCCAAGCUCAAGCAAUCCGUCCACUUCAGCCUCCAAAGUAACUGAGACUACAAGCGCGCGCCACCACGUCCAGCUAAUUUGUUAGUUUUUUGUGUGUGUGGAGACAAGGUCUCACUGUGUUGCCCAGGCUGGUCUCUAACUCCCAAGCUCAAGCAAUUCUCUCGCCUUGACCUCCCAAAAUGUUGGAAUUACAGGCAUGAGCCACCACACCCAGUCGGGAUAAUACUUUUGAAAUGCCCUUCUUGGUAAUCCAGGGUUUUUUCUUUACUUACCCUUUAUUGCUCAGAAUAUGGGAGGGUGAGAUCGAAGAAGUUUUUAAAGAAGAGAAGGUCUCUAAACAACAAGAAAAGACAGGAAACAGCAGAAAGAAAGAAUAUGGCCGAGAAAUCUAAGGAUCCUAGCUUUCCCCUGCUACCCUCCUCACCUCUCCUGAGUCAAAAAUAUGGGGGAGAGGGGUAUUUGUUGCUCUCCUGAAAAGUUUUCAAGCCCUUUAAAGAAGCCCCAUGAUACAGAAAUAUGUUUGGUGAUCUGAAAUGUAUUCCCAAAUGAAAAUAUUGCAAAGAAACGUGUUUUACAUUAAGAAAUAACGAAGGCAUGUGAUCAAGGGUACACAUUAAUUUUGCGAGAGCAUUUUACAGGAAAAAUAUCUUGAUUCCUGUUAUGGACUGAAUGUGCCCCACCCUCCCAAAUUUAAUGUUAAAGUCCUAACCGCUGGUCUGAUGGUAUUUGAGAUGGGGCCUUGGGGAGGUAAUCAAGUUUAAAUUAAGUCAUAAGGGUGGGGUCUUAAUCCAAGGAAAGACCAUAUGAGUACACAGAGAGAAGGUGGCCUUCUGCAACCCACAAGAGAGCCCUUAGCAGAACACCACGAUGAUGGCACCCUGACCUUGGAGCCUCCAGAACUGUUUGAAAAUUAAUUUCUGUUGUUUAACUUAGUCUAUGGUAUUUAGUUAUGGCAGCCCAAGGUAACUAAGACAUAUCUAAGUAUUUCGAAGGAAGAAUAUCUUGAUUCCUGAGCUUUCACAAAAUGGGUUAAAAUGUUCCUAGUUCCCAAAACUCUGAUGCAAUAAUUGCAACUUAGUGCCCCUUAGUUAUAAUGUAUGUUUCCAGACGUUACUUGUUUCUGACAUUGAGUCCAUAUUUACCUUGUUUGGUUUAAUAUAAUUACAGACAGGAACAUUGCUUGAGCUUCCAUCAUCAUACCUUGAAAUUUAUGAGCCAAAGAUCAGGCUGAAAGGCUAAUUAAUAUUACUGAAGAUGAACUGAAAAGAUUCCUUGGGCAGACUGAUGGGUCAAUAGAAGUUUCCAGGGUUUUCAUCACCAAACAUAUUUAACAAUCGAAAUACGCUGGUCAGCUUACAAAAUCUCAGUGUUUGCCCGUUACACUGCAUUACUACUACUAUGAAAAUAGUCCGUGUGCUGGAGUGAAACCAGUUCUGCUACUCUAGCCAAAUGGAGCCAAACAAUUAAUGUCUGAACCAGGUAUAAAGACGGUCUGCAUUAUAUGUUUACUUUUCCAGUCCAAUUGGAUGCCCUCCAAAGAUGAGAGAGGGAGACACAAUAUGAAGAGAUCAUAUAAGCCAGAGGAGACAGUGGGAGCUUAGAGUUGACUUAGUUUUUAAAGAGCUUUCCAGUUUAGUCCAUGUGAUUCCCCUCCACCUACUCUUUUCCCCUUAUCUAAUCUUGAACAAUUAAAACCAGCAAAUAUAUUUCUUACACUAGAAUUUACAUUAAAAUUUCACUUUACAUUCUACAGUGUUUCAGCCUUGCAGUCCUGUUUAACUAUUGGGGCCUCGUUAGCGACUUGUUUAUUUAAUAGUCUCAGCAAAACUAAGAAAUAAGCAAAUAUUCUGAAUGCUGCCUGGUCUGCAGUUAUUCUUUUUAAAAAAAAAUUUUUUUAAAGACUAGUCAAGCAUAGUAGUGAGAAGGGGAGAAAGUAGAACAAGGAGUUUCAGAUCAAACUCCUGACUGUGAACAAUCGGUUGAGAUAACUCCCUACCUUCGGGCCAGCCAUGCAAUUACUCUUAAUACAAUUGUACCACAGAAGCAUUGCUAAGAACACAGACCCUGGCUCUGCCUCUAUAUUUAAGUUCUUCCAUUCCUCAAUGAUCGCCAAAGAACAUAUUCCCCCGAGGAGGAGUUUGAGAGUUUUGUUCAAACUCACAAAAAACUAAGACAGCUCAACUGUCUAUUGGAGAUCCUCUCCAUGGGAGGUUUGGGCAGAAGGACAGUGAUCCAGAUGGAGGUCGGAGAUGAGAAAGAGGAGCAAAGAAAGUAAUAAAAGCAUGGGUAAAUAUUUUUUUAAUGACUAUAAAAAGUAGUAAAAUAAUGAUGCUUAUUGAGAUUAAAAGAUACAUUUAAUACACUAGACAGUAAUAGCAUAUUUGUCAAAAGAAGGGUUAAUGGUGUUAAAGCAGUCUAAGGUCCUUGAGUUAUCCAGAAGACAAUCAUUUUGAUUAAUUUUAUAUUUUAGACACUGUAUGUUUUAAUUUAUUUAAAAUAAUAAAACUAAAGAGUAAAACAUCUAAAUUAGAGGGGAAAGGUGAAAUAAAAAACAUUUAGUAAAUUUCACAGAAGGCAGGAAAAGGUUUUAAAAAGGAACAUCUGAAACCCAAAUUAAGAUAGGUUUAAAUCCAUCAUGAAGGUUAUAUGAUAGUGGAGGAAACAAACAGCUAACGAGUCAAGUGAAUAUACAUGUAAUUUUACAUAGCAAUAUAUACUAUGCAGAAAAACCCAACAGGGUAAAGCAUUAGAUGCUGCCUAGGAGGAGACUAUUUUUAGGUAAGGGAAGACCUAAGAUAGAAAGAGGAGGUAAGUAAGACUCCAAGGGUUUUUAUCGUGAGCAAUAACAGGUUGAGAAGGGAAGAGGAGCCAAGGAGACUGAGGAGACAGCCAGUGAAAUGGGAGGAAGUGUUUCAAGAAGGAUGGUAUGAUCAACUGUGAAAUUAAGAAUGCUUGGCUUAUUUACUACAAACAUCUCUCCCAGACCUGGAAACACAGCCAGUAGCAAGGUCAGUAUUAAGUUACCACAAGGCCAGGCACAGUGGCUGAUGCCUGUAAUCCUAGCACUUGGGCAGGCCAAGAAAGGCGGAUUGCUUGAGCCCAGGAGUUCAAGAGACCCGCCAUGGGCAACAUGGUGAAAUUGCAUCUCUACAAAAUGUACGAAAAAUUAGCCAGGCGUGGUUGCACGUGCCUGUAGUCCCAGCUAUCUGGAAGGCUGGGGUGGAAGGACCACCUGUACUCCAGCCUUGGUGACAGAGUAAGACCUUGUCUCAACAUCAACAACUGCAAAAGAGUUACCAUAGACUCAACAGGGGACAUAUAAAUCUACAGCGCACAGUGGCUAAACGCAAGGGUUCUGAGGCCAGACUAUCUGAAUUGUGGUUUAACCUCCUUCUAGUUGUGAUCUGUGUGAUCUUGGGUAAGUUAUUUAAUCACUCUGUGCUUUGGUAUCCUCAUCUGUAAAAUGGGGAUAAAGAAUUUGUUUCCUCUAGUUGUCAUGAUUAAACGAGUUUUUUUUUUUGAGACAGGGUCUCACUCUGUUGCCCAGACUGGAAUGCAGUGGCAUGAUAAUAACUGUCUGCAGCCUCCCAACUCCUGUGCUCAAGUGAUCCUCCCACCUCUGCCUCCUGAGUAGCUAGGGCUACAUGUGCCUGCCACCCACCAUGCCUGGCUAAUUUUGUAUAUGUUUUGUAGAGAUGGGGUCUGCCUACGUUGCCCAGGCUGGUCUCGAACUCCUGAGCUGAAGCAAUCCUCCCACCUUGACCUCCCAAAGUGCUGGGAUUACAGGUGUGAGCCACUGCACCCAGCCAAUUUUUUUUUUUUUUUUUUUUUUGCGACGUCGUUUUGCUCUUGUUGCCCAGGCUGGAGUGCAAUGGCGCAAUCUCAGCUCACCGCAACUUCCGCCUCCCGAGUUCAAGCGAUUCUCCUGCCUCAGCCUCCCGAGUAGCUGGGAUUACAUGAAUGUGCCAUCACAUGCGGCUAAUUUUGUAGUUUUAGUAGAGACGGGGUUUCUCCAUGUUGGUCAGGCUGGUCUCGAACUCCCGACCUCAGGUGAUCCGCCCGCCUCAGCCUCCCAAAGUGCUGGGAUUAUAGGUGUGAGCCACCACGCCUGGCCUCGAGUUAAUAUUUUUUAAAGCACUUAGAAUACACCUGACAUAAAGUAGUAACAAUGUGUAUCUUUGUUAAAAUGAGAGAGAAAUCCCCAAAAUGGCAAAGAUAGGAAAAACAACCAUGCUUUUCAAGUACUGACUUGCAUUUUCAGAAGGUUCAAAUUGGC
rnacentral:lncRNA from 10 species